ensembl:lncRNA
UGUUUCACAUUUCUCUCUCUCUUUUUCUCAACAGGAACAACUGAGCAACAUCAAACUGUUCAAACUGUCACAGCUGGACGUGGACAUGAUGUUACUCUGCCUUGUAAAAAUGUGAUACAAGGUCAGCAUAACUGUAUCAGUACUACCUGGAUCUUCAGUAACUCAAACAGCUCAGUAGAACUAUUUGACUUUGGGCAGAAAAAAGAAGCCAAACCUAAAUCAGACAGACUGAGUCUUUCUGCAGACUGUUCUCUGGUUAUAAAGAAGGUCACAGAUCAGGAUGUUGGUCGUUACACCUGCAGACAGUACAAAACAGCAACAGGAUCACAAGAAGGUCCAGACUUAAUGAUUCAUCUGUCUGUUAUUAACACUGAAGAUGUGAAAACAACUAAAUCAACAACAUCAACAAUUAAACCAACCGUGAAAAUAAACACAUGGACAACAAGAGAGGAAUUAAAGACAUCAGCAGGGACACUGACAACAGCAUCAAAUAUUCCAUCUGGAGUUCAUUCAGGGUUUAUCAUCGUUCCUGUGGGUUUAGCAGCUCUCUUAAUAUCUGCUGUUACAGUCAACACGUGGAUAAAAUGUAACGGUGAGAAAAUUCACAGAUGAGACUUUUACACAUAAAAAGUUUUGAGUUUAACUGUUUACUGUACUCUUUUUUUAUUAUUAUUUUGUCUUUUCAGGAAACAAAACAGAAAUGGAAAGAAACAAUGUGAGUUUGAACACUCAAUAGUCCUCUCUAACUUUAUAGAGCAAAAUCUCUUUGUGAUAUCUGUUCCUGUUUGACACGGUUGAUAUACAAAGAUAGAACAUAAUGAAAGAUAAGGAUAUCCUGUGCUGACCAUGUUCAACUGAAACUUAACUGUAAUCAUAAGGAAUCUAAAGAAAAUCACAGGAGUGAAAACACAAGUAUGAAUAUCUGUCACGGUCCUGUGGGGGUGACCCAGUGUUUUGUGUUUUGAAUUAUUAAUAGUCUUUGUUUUCAUUAUUAUUUAGAUUCUUUAGUCUCUUGGUUUCUGCGCUCUUCCUGUGAUCCAUGUUCCCUUUGUCUCCCCUGUCAGUCAUGUCUCCUUGUUUCAGUGUAAAGUCCGUGUCUUCUUGUUUGACUUUGACAGUCUUGUGUGCCAUGUUAGUUUUUUCCGUUUUCCUUCUUCCAGGUCUCGUUGUGUGUGGUUUCUCCAGCUGUGUUUUCCUCCUGUGUCUCAUUCCUUCGUUACCUUUGUGUUCCUCUGUUUGUUGCUGGGUCGUCUGUGUUUCUCCUUCUGCUAUUUCUGUUUUCCUUGGCCCUCGUCUCAGAUUUUCAUGUUUCAUAUUCAGGCUUUUGUCUCAGGUUUAGAUUCUUUAUAUUUGUUUCUAGUUUUUCCCAGUUUAGGUUUGUGUUAGUUUUUCACAGUCUCCGAUCGCCUUUUGUUUUUGGUGUUUUUUGCAGUGAAGGCUCGCUUUUUGUUAAACAUUCUCCUGCAUCUCUGUGUCUGCAUCUGGGUCCAUAUUCUCUCCUCUUCAUGCCGUCUGCCUCAUCAGACAUGACAAUAUCAGAGAGAAUCUAAAGUGUGUUGUGUUGUUUUCCACAGGAGCUUAAUGAUGAGGGUGAAGAUGGAGUGAACUAUGAAAAUAUUGGAGACUCUUCUGCUUCUGUCAGACUCCACUGAUCAACAACUCAAACAUCAUCUCAUCACAUAAAUUAGCCCAUUGCUGUUGAAAACACUGUGUGUCUGUGUGUGUGACUGGGUCUUUGUCUGAGACUUGCUGAGCCUUGACACCUGUGGGACAUGAUUAUAGAAGAUGAGGGUUGCUCCUCCCUAACACUCCCUUCUGGUCAUUGCCCAUGAAAACAGUCCUGAGCUAAUGCUGGGAUGGUUCUGGCUCUUAAACAUUCGCCUUGCGAUCUCUCAUGGGCUCCCUUGUCAUUCUUUCCUCCUUCUACUUGUGCCAGCAUAUGGUCAUUGUCACCUGGACGUGUGGGCUUGGGUCUGCAGGACUCUUGGGGUGCUGUGGAGGGCCCAACUAAACUGUGUCUUUCUCUUUCACACUAACAUGCAAGAUUGUGCGUUUUUCUGAGGUGCUGUUUGUUUUUUCUACAUGUUUUUCUUACAGGUGCAACAGGUGGUGAUCUGUUGAGUUGAACUAUGUGUGCUGUGUCCUUUUGAUUUUGUCUUCUCUCAAUUUUUGUCUUUUUUUUUCUUUUUUUCCUUCUCCUCUCUACCCAUUCUUACCUCUCCCUACCUGUCAGCUCUGGUAUUGAUCAAUUACACAUAAGUUAAUGUGAAUAACAAUGAAAAUGAAUAAAUCAAAUAGAAUAAAAAGAAAGACUAAGAUAAGAAACCUAUACAAAAUUCAUAAAACUCUUGGCAAAGCAAAUGUGUUGGCACAACAGAGCAUUCAGAUCAUGUUUCUGAUUGUGAAAGCUGUCGGACAAGACAGGUUUAAAAAAAGGAAACAAAAAUUACAUUUUGAUUUUAUCUCAUAUUUAGCUAAAAACUUUUUCAUGUACAUUUAGAUUUAUCUAAAAAGUAAAACACCAUACAACAAUUAUUUAUCCUUUAUUUAAUGAUGAUAAACAGAAUCUUUAGUUUGUUUAAAUUUGCUGUUGAUGAUUUUUAUUAAAGGUAACCCACUGAGUUAAAAAUGACAGGUUAUUUAUUGCUGUUUAAAUUUUGUGUUAUUUAUUUGAUUGUUAGUCUUCAUACUUUAUUUUUAUUCCUGAGGUGAGUUUUAAUGAGAUUUACAAACAGUAACAGAUAUAAUGAUCCAAAUUAUAACUUCAGUUUCUAACUAUUGCUUUUUUUUUGC